ensembl:lncRNA
GCCUGCAGGGAUGCUCUGCCUGCCUCUGCAACCUCUCCCUGAUGCCCUGGCAGCCCAUGGGGUGGGUUAUCCUCUGCCAGUGGGUCCAGGGCCCCAUUUGCCCAUAACUCAGGGAACUUUGCAGCAAAACCUCCCAUCAGCUCAGCCCGCUCAGCAGCAGGAUCCCAGAGCACCGCCUGCUCCAGGGAUGACUUUGGGGAGCAGUAAUGUUUGCACAGAAACACUCAACUCUGAGCCAGGAGGAACUGAAGCCCUUCCAGCCAUGGGAACCCAAAGCCACCACGCUGUGUUCCAGAUCCCAUACAAACCCCGCUGUUCCCCAACCCCUCAGCUCAGCCCCACGCACACAGAGUGGCUGUUUGCUCCAGCUUUAUCUCCAAGCGGAGGGAUGAGAAAGGCAGAGAGGGAAGGGAUGAGAUAAUGACCCAGAUCUGCUCCUGCAAACUGCCACGGAGCCCAUUAGGAGAGGGCAAACGCAGCUCGGGAAUCCAGGUCCUCAGAGUCCCCACUCAGGGGUGGCACUCAGGGAAGGCGCUCCCCUCGAUGGAGGUCUCGGAUGCAUCCCCACUUCUCAGCCUGACCAUCCCCGUCUUCCCACCACGUGAAAAACGGAGCGGUGUCACAUCUGAGGUGAUGCAGACAGGAGGGAUUUGUGUUUCGUCUGCCGUUGUUUGCUGUUCCCAGCGAUUUGUCAUGCUCUGCUGACAACUCAUUGGGGACCCGUGACACAGUGUGCCACCUAUUAGCAUGAGGACAAAUCCUGACUGAGAAAGCGUCCCUCCUCCACCUCGGAGACCUUUCCUCCCUUGGUCGCCCUGCUGGACACCAGCUGCUCCCUCCUAGCUGACAAGGGACAGCCAAACCAAGGGGACACAAACCGUAUGGGCAGACCCAGAGCACGAUGUGGAGAUGCCCCGAGUCCAUACCGAACAUUUUCUCCCUGCACAGAGCCACCCCAGCCCUGGUCCCACCCAGCCCAAUGCCAGCAUGCUCUGGGUAGAAACCAGAAGGGGACACCCCCAGCUCCCCGUGGUCCCCAGCCCUGCCCUCUCCUCACCAUCGCCUGUGCUUCCAGCAGAGAAAAAUGCUUAUUCUCCUUAAUGGGCUAUUGCAGCCCAGACAGGCGUUGCACACACAAACACACACACACACACACAGUCUCUGCACUACCCAUACCAAAUCCCUGCCCAAACCAUUGGGGACCAUUCUGUUUCUCCACACCGUGUCACCCCCCCCCAGGACCCCACCUCUGUCCCUUUGCUUUCAG